ACGAACGCUGGCGGCGUGCUUAACACAUGCAAGUCGAACGGAAAGGCCCUGCUUUUGUGGGGUGCUCGAGUGGCGAACGGGUGAGUAACACGUGAGUAACCUGCCCUUGACUUUGGGAUAACUUCAGGAAACUGGGGCUAAUACCGGAUAGGAGCUCCUGCUGCAUGGUGGGGGUUGGAAAGUUUCGGCGGUUGGGGAUGGACUCGCGGCUUAUCAGCUUGUUGGUGGGGUAGUGGCUUACCAAGGCUUUGACGGGUAGCCGGCCUGAGAGGGUGACCGGCCACAAUGGGACUGAGAUACGGCCCAGACUGCUACGGGAGGCAGCAGUGGGGAAUAUUGCACAAUGGGCGGAAGCCUGAUGCAGCAACGCCGCGUGCGGGAUGACGGCCUUCGGGUUGUAAACCGCUUUCGCCUGUGACGAAGCGUGAGUGACGGUAAUGGGUAAAGAAGCACCGGCUAACUACGUG
rnacentral:rRNA from 1 species